UUGACCUCGGAUCAGGUAGGGAUACCCGCUGAACUUAAGCAUAUCAAUAAGCGGAGGAAAAGAAACCAACAGGGAUUGCCCUAGUAACGGCGAGUGAAGCGGCAACAGCUCAAAUUUGAAAUCUGGCGUCUUUGGCGUCCGAGUUGUAAUUUGCAGAGGGCGCUUUGGCAUUGGCAGCGGUCCAAGUUCCUUGGAACAGGACGUCACAGAGGGUGAGAAUCCCGUACGUGGUCGCUAGCCUUUACCGUGUAAAGCCCCUUCGACGAGUCGAGUUGUUUGGGAAUGCAGCUCUAAAUGGGAGGUAAAUUUCUUCUAAAGCUAAAUACUGGCCAGAGACCGAUAGCGCACAAGUAGAGUGAUCGAAAGAUGAAAAGCACUUUGGAAAGAGAGUUAAAAAGCACGUGAAAUUGUUGAAAGGGAAGCGCUUGCAGCCAGACUUGCCUGUAGUUGCUCAUCCGGGUUUUUACCCGGUGCACUCUUCUACGGGCAGGCCAGCAUCAGUUUGGGCGGUUGGAUAAAGGUCUCUGUCAUGUACCUCCUCUCGGGGAGAACUUAU
rnacentral:rRNA from 1 species